CCCCUUUACUAGUAAGGGAAAAACUCUAUCGAGUAAGCCCAGCUACAAGUACCGAAUCAAGCUUUUCUUCAAUAGGAUUAGCAUAGGAAUCAUUAAUAGUUGAAUUCUCUCCCGGAACUACCCAAUCUGUUUUAAACUCACAUUUACCACGUCGCAUUGACAAGUUCAAAAGUAGCCCAACCUAUACAAGGGCGUAACGAGCAGUCUACUCAUG
rnacentral:lncRNA from 1 species